rnacentral:lncRNA from 1 species
GACUCAAAUAUACGUUGGAGAUAGGUUGGUGGAAGCCCAGUGUGGUGCCCAGAGCUGGGGCCUGGUUAUAGGGCAUUUCCAAGUCUCUGGGCAAUGUCCCUCCUCUCAGAAGAGGGGAUGGAGUAAUGCCAUCACAUCUCAGGUAAAUUCCCUCACCGUCCGGUGGCCCAGUGCCUAGAGAGUUUGACAGGCUGUCUUAAAUUUGAGUCCCCUUUGCUUGAUGGAAGGCCCACCGCUGGACCCAGAAUUCCCUGGCAUGAAUUUUGGCUAUCCCGUUUGCUCGUAUCAGGCUGGUCCACAUAGAGUUGAGCUUCUAGAAAGCUGGCCUUCUCGUUGUGAGUGUAUUGUGUCAACCCAGUGCUUUUAGGGGGCAGGCUGCACUCAUGCCCUUGCUCUUUCUCCCUCCAGUUCUCCUCAAACUUCUUCCCUCACACCCGAGUCUCUUCCCCCCCUAGGAGUCUCCUGGUGCAUGGAAUCUACCAGAAACUGGGUAAUAUAUAUAAAUCUGGGUCAUCCCUGGCUUCACGCUGGAUCCAAGGGCUGAAGGGUGCUGGUCAAUGUGGAGCCUGCUCUCAUGACUUACAAAAUGGAGGGGAUUUCAGGGUGUGGGGUGGUGCUGUGUUGGGUGAGGGUCUUGGCUGACUGUGACAGUGCACCCGACAGGGAGAGGAGGAAGAAUAUCAUGCUGGCAAUUGCCCCGGGCCAGGGCACACCAGAAUUUAGCUGCGGGACACAGAGGAAGGUCUGAGAGUUGCUGUUAGAGGACAUGUCCUCCAGAGGGCGACAGAGCACCAGCAGAGCCCGCUGCAUCUCCCUGCAUCUCCAGGCUCAGAUUGGACUGGAAAGGGACCCAUGGAAUCCCAAGGAGGGGCCCAGAGCCGGGGGUUUGUUUUCAUGGUGCUCUGAUACUGCGGCCCAAUGGGACUCCAUUCAGUGAGGGGAUGGACUUUUGCCAUCAGGGUUCCCCAAAGCCUCUGCCUGCCUUCUGCAGCUGAGCUGCUUCAGCCUCUGUGGGACACCCAUUUGAAGGAACCUGUCCAAAUCCAUGUAAGAGAUCUCCUAUUUUUUCCCUCCCACCUGAGGCUCUUCCUCCUCACCAGACACCUGUUCCAAGGAAGCUCCUGCAACUAGGUAAGAUGAAUCAAGCCUGGGUGGUCCUUGGCGUCUAUCUGGGUCCCAGGGCUGAAGGGUGCCGACUGAUUCAGAGCCGGCUGAAGUGACUUACAGAGCUGGGUCUUUGAUUUCAGGGUGUGGGCUUGUGUCUUGAGGGUUGAGUAUCCAGGGUGACAGUGAAGAAUCCAUACUCCCACCGCAAGAGUGGAUUUCAGUGUGCCUGAGAGGAAGAG